rnacentral:rRNA from 1 species
GAUGAACGCUGGCGGCGUGCCUAAUACAUGCAAGUCGAGCGAACAGACGAGGAGCUUGCUCCUCUGACGUUAGCGGCGGACGGGUGAGUAACACGUGAAUAACCUACCUAUAAGACUGGGAUAACUUCGGGAAACCGGAGCUAAUACCGGAUAAUAUAUUGAACCGCAUGGUUCAAUAGUGAAAGACGGUUUUGCUGUCACUUAUAGAUGUAUCCGCGCCGCAUUAGCUAGUUGGUAAGGUAACGGCUUACCAAGGCUACGAUGCGUAGCCGACCUGAGAGGGUGAUCGGCCACACUGGAACUGAGACACGGUCCAGACUCCUACGGGAGGCAGCAGUAGGGAAUCUUCCGCAAUGGGCGAAAGCCUGACGGAGCAACGCCGCGUGAGUGAAGAAGGUCUUCGGAUCGUAAAGCUCUGUUAUUAGGGAAGAACAAAUGUGUAAGUAACUAUGCACGUCUUGACGGUACCUAAUCAGAAAGCCACGGCUAACUACGUG